rnacentral:rRNA from 1 species
UACGUAGGGCGCUAGCGUUGUCCGGAAUUAUUGGGCGUAAAGAGCUCGUAGGCGGUUUGUCGCGUCUGCCGUGAAAACCUCAGGCUCAACCUGGGGCUUGCAGUGGGUACGGGCAGACUAGAGUGCGGUAGGGGUGGCUGGAAUUCCUGGUGUAGCGGUGGAAUGCGCAGAUAUCAGGAGGAACACCGAUGGCGAAGGCAGGUCACUGGGCCGAGACUGACGCUGAGGAGCGAAAGCAUGGGGAGCGAACAGG